rnacentral:rRNA from 1 species
UGCCAGCAGCCGCGGUAAUACGGAGGAUCCAAGCGUUAUCCGGAUUUAUUGGGUUUAAAGGGUGCGUAGGCGGCCUAUUAAGUCAGGGGUGAAAGACGGUAGCUCAACUAUCGCAGUGCCCUUGAUACUGAUGGGCUUGAAUACACUAGAGGUAGGCGGAAUGUGACAAGUAGCGGUGAAAUGCAUAGAUAUGUCACAGAACACCGAUUGCGAAGGCAGCUUACUAUGGUGUUAUUGACGCUGAGGCACGAAAGCGUGGGGAUCAAACAGGAUUAGAUACCCUGGUAGUCCACGCCCUAAACGAUGAAUACUCGCUGUUAGCGAUAUACAGUUAGCGGCUAAGCGAAAGCAUUAAGUAUUCCACCUGGGGAGUACGCUCGCAAGGGUGAAACUCAAAGGAAUUGACGGGGGUCCUC